rnacentral:rRNA from 1 species
CNAGNAUAGCAUUACNAAGCGAAACUGCGAAUGGCUCAUUAUAUAAGUUAUCGUUUAUUUGAUAGUACCUUACUACAUGGAUAACCGUGGUAAUUCUAGAGCUAAUACAUGCUGAAAAUCCCGACUUCGGAAGGGAUGUAUUUAUUAGAUUCAAAACCAAUGCCCUUCGGGGCUCCAAUGGUGAUUCAUGAUAACUUCUCGAAUCGCACGGCCCCGCGCCGGCGAUGGUUCAUUCAAAUUUCUUCCCUAUCAACUUUCGAUGCUACGGUAGUGUCCUAGCAUGGUUGCAACGGGUAACGGGGNAAUUUGAAUGAACCAUCGCCGGNGCGGGGGAUUCGAGAAGNUUAUGANUUNGGNGGNG